rnacentral:SRP_RNA from 1 species
GCUGGAAAUUGUAGCUUGCACCUGUAAUCCGUCUACUCGGAGGUUUGGCUGAUUAGUCGGUUUGAAAAUGGGAGUCCUGGAAGUCAGUCUUCUAUGGCGCAGGUGUCCACAUUAAGCUCGGCAUCAGUAUGGUGCUGGAAAGGGAGCUCAUCAGGUCCAGGUUGUCUAAGAAGGGUCACGUCGGCCACGGGUGGAAACACAGCAGGCAAAAGAGCCCGUACCGAACAGUAGUGGGAUGGAGCCUGUGAAUAGUUAUCGGCUAGUAACCUGUUCGAUGCAACUGAACACCAAUCUCU